UGAGGAAUAUUGGACAAUGGGUGAGAGCCUGAUCCAGCCAUCCCGCGUGAAGGACGACGGCCCUAUGGGUUGUAAACUUCUUUUGUAUAGGGAUAAACCUUUCCACGUGUGGAAAGCUGAAGGUACUAUACGAAUAAGCACCGGCUAACUCCGUGCCAGCAGCCGCGGUAAUACGGAGGGUGCAAGCGUUAUCCGGAUUUAUUGGGUUUAAAGGGUCCGUAGGCGGGCCGAUAAGUCAGUGGUGAAAUCUCAUAGCUUAACUAUGAAACUGCCAUUGAUACUGUCGGUCUUGAGUAAAUUAGAGGUAGCUGGAAUAAGUAGUGUAGCGGUGAAAUGCAUAGAUAUUACAUGGAAUACCAAUUGCGAAGGCAGGUUACUACUUGUGGAUUGACGCUGAUGGACGAAAGCGUGGGGAGCGAACA
rnacentral:rRNA from 1 species